rnacentral:rRNA from 1 species
UACAGAGGGUGCGAGCGUUGUUCGGAAUUAUUGGGCGUAAAGGGCGCGUAGGCGGUGCGGUAAGUCACCUGUGAAAUCUCCUGGCUCAACUGGGAGCUUGCAGGCGAAACUGCCGUGCUGGAGUGUGGGAGAGGUGCGUGGAAUUCCUGGUGUAGCGGUGAAAUGCGUAGAUAUCCGGAGGAACACCGGUGGCGAAGGCGGCUUCCUGGACCGACAUUGACGCUGAGGCGCGAAAGCUAGGGGAGCAAACGGG